AGAAAAAGGUGGAAAUAAGAAACAAAAACGAAAACUGAAAAGAGAAGACUGUUAACUAUUAUUCUCAAACUGUAGGUCCCACCCUGGACCCGCUUAUGUCGCCAGAGUCAGAGAGUGAUUGACAGCCUAAAGGAAGAAACCAUGGCAUCAUCCAAAGAAGGAACAGCACAGACCACAAAGAGAGAACGUAACAUGCUGGUGCCCAAGUCAGGAAUGCCAAGUAGAGAUAAGUUAAAGAAGAAGGACUUGGAAGCUGCUACAGCCCCAGCCGGUAACUGCAGACAGCUGACCAAGAAGGUAGGGUCGAGACCCUCAUGCUUGUGUACAUCACCCUCCUCAAUGCCCCCACAAUGGGAAGGGGCACGCUUCAUAUCACACUUGGUACUCAGGUUCUAGAAGCCCUGAUGUGGAUCUUUCUUUCAUAAAUAACCAAUUUGUUGAAUACAACUGACCCUUGAACCACACAAGCUUGAACUGUGUGAGUCCACUUAUACACAGAUUUUCUUCCACCUCUGCCAUCCCUGAGACAGCAAGACCAACCCCUCCUGCUCCUCCUGCUCCUCCUCCUCAGCCUACUCAACGUUAAGACGAUGAGGAUGAACACCUUUAUGAUGAUCCAAUUCCACUAAAUGAACUGUAAAUAUAUUUUCCUUAUGAUUUUCUUAAUAUUAAUAUUUUCU